rnacentral:rRNA from 1 species
UUUUUGAUAAUAAUUUAAAGUCUAAUCUGCCCACUGAUAGAAUAUUAAAGGGCUGCAGUAUAUUGACUGUACAAAGGUAGCAUAAUCAUUAGUCUUUUAAUUGAAGACUUGUAUGAAAGAUUUGAUGAAAUAUAAACUGUCUCUAAUUUAUGUUUAGAAAUUAAUUUUUUAGUUAAAAAGCUAAAAUAAAGUUAAAAGACGAGAAGACCCUAUAGAGUUUUAUAUUUUGAUUAAUUAUUAUUAAAUAUAUAAUUAAAUAUAAUAAUUAAUUAAAAUAUUUUGUUGGGGUGAUAGAAAAAUUUAAUAAACUUUUUUUAAAAUUUGAACAUAAAUAAGUGAAUAAUUGAUCCAUUAAUAAUGAUUAAAAGAAAAAAUUACCUUAGGGAUAACAGCGUAAUAUUUUUUUUUAGUACAAAUAAAAAAAAAAGUUUGCGACCUCGAUGUUGGAUUAAGAUAAAAUUUAAAUGCAAAAGUUUAAAAUUUUGAUCUGUUCGAUCAUUAAAAUCUUACAUGAUCUGAGC